rnacentral:rRNA from 1 species
GAUGAACGCUAGCGGCAGGCCUAACACAUGCAAGUCGAGGGAGGAGCUUUCGUGCUUCGACCGGCGUACGGGUGCGUAACGCGUAUACAAUCUGCCUUUCACAUAGGGAUAGCCCGAAGAAAUUUGGAUUAAUACCUAAUGGUAUAUAGGAGUGGCAUCACCUUUAUAUUAAAGCUGAGGCGGUGAAAGAUGAGUAUGCGUUCUAUUAGCUAGUUGGAGAGGUAACGGCUCCCCAAGGCGACGAUAGAUAGGGGUUCUGAGAGGGAUAUCCCCCACACUGGUACUGAGAUACGGACCAGACUCCUACGGGAGGCAGCAGUGAGGAAUAUUGGACAAUGGUCGGAAGACUGAUCCAGCCAUGCCGCGUGCAGGAAGACGGCCUUAUGGGUUGUAAACUGCUUUUGCAGGGGAAGAAUAAGGAGUACGUGUACUUUGAUGACGGUACUCUGCGAAUAAGCAUCGGCUAACUCCGUG